GGGGAUUUAGCUCAGUGGUAGAGCACUUGCCUAGCAAGUACAAGGCCCAGGGUUCAAUCCUCA
rnacentral:tRNA from 1 species